GACGAACGCUGGCGGCGUGCUUAACACAUGCAAGUCGAACGGAAAGGCCUGCUUUCCCUUGUGGAUUGCGGGUACUCGAGUGGCGAACGGGUGAGUAACACGUGAGUGAUCUGCCCCCAACUUGGGUAUAAGCCUGGGAAACUGGGUCUAAUUCCCGAUAGGACUGCAGGGUGGUGCCUGUGGUGGAAAACGAUUUUCUAGUGGUUGGGGAUGAGCUCGCGGCCUAUCAGCUUGUUGGUGGGGUAAUGGCCUACCAAGGCGGCGACGGGUAGCCGGCCUGGGAGGGUGGACGGCCACAUUGGGACUGGGAUACGGCCCAGACUCAGACGGGAGGCAGCAGUGGGGAAGAUUGCACAAUGGGCGGAAGCCGGAUGCAGCGACGCCGCGUGGGGGAUGACGGCCUUCGGGUUGUAAACUCCUUUCGACCGCGAGGAAGCCACCUGGUUGGAAGGGUGGUGACGGUAGUGGUAGAAGAAGCACCGGCUAACUACGU
rnacentral:rRNA from 1 species